rnacentral:rRNA from 1 species
GAUGAACGCUGGCGGCGUGCCUAAUACAUGCAAGUCGAGCGAACAGACGAGGAGCUUGCUCCUCUGACGUUAGCGGCGGACGGGUGAGUAACACGUGGAUAACCUACCUAUAAGACUGGGAUAACUUCGGGAAACCGGAGCUAAUACCGGAUAAUAUAUUGAACCGCAUGGUUCAAUAGUGAAAGACGGUUUUGCUGUCACUUAUAGAUGGAUCCGCGCCGCAUUAGCUAGUUGGUAAGGUAACGGCUUACCAAGGCAACGAUGCGUAGCCGACCUGAGAGGGUGAUCGGCCACACGGGAACUGGGACACGGUCCAGACUCCUACGGGAGGCAGCAGUAGGGAAUCUUCCGCAAGGGGCGAAAGCCUGACGGAGAAACGCCGCGUGAGUGAUGAAGGUCUUCGGAUCGUAAAACUCUGUUAUUAGGGAAGAACAAAUGUGUAAGUAACUAUGCACGUCUGGACGGUACCUAAUCAGAAAGCCACGGCUAACUACGU